AUUGAACGCUGGCGGGAGGCCUAACACAUGCAAGUCGAGCGGAGCGGCGGACGGGGGAGGAAUGGCUAGGAAUCUGCCUGGGAGUGGGGGAUAAGGUCAGGUAACGGGCGCUAAUGCCGCAUACUAUCAGAUUAGCCGAGGUCGGAUUAGCUAGUUGGUGGGGUAAAGGCCGACCAAGGCGACGAUCAGUAACUGGUCUGAGAGGAUGAUCAGCCACACUGGAACUGAGACACGGCCCAGACUCCUACGGGAGGCAGCAGUGGGGAAUAUUGGACAAUGGGCGCAAGCCUGAUCCAGCCAUGCCGCGUGUGUGAAGAAGGUCUUAGGAUUGUAAAGCACUUUAAGUCGGGAGGCGUUACCAACAGAAGAAGCACCGGCUAACUUCGUGCCAGCAGCCGCGGUAAUAC
rnacentral:rRNA from 1 species